CCCCUCCUUGGCGUGAAUCCACGUGCCCUCUCCCUGGGGUAUGUGGGUCUCCUGGGGACGCAGAAAUAAACCUUUUCCUUUCCUUUCUUUUCUGAU